GCUACACGGAGAAAGGAGAAAGAGAGACCAAGAGAAAAGAGAGACAGAGAAAUAGAGAGGCAAAGAACGGAGGAGAGAGAGAUCGAGAGAUCAAAAACUGCAGUUUGCAAUCAAGAAUGAAAAGAUGUCUCUCACUUCCUGUCAGAUUUUCUGCCAUCACCGUAAGUCUCCACUCGCUACCCGACCAUCGGAAUCGCUACUGAUUUGGUUUUGAUUAAGGGAUACGAAGAUAGAGGAACCAAGCAGAGUUCGUAGCGAUACAGAGAAAGGGAAGGAGACAAAAAAAAUUUGCGGCAUAGUGGAGAUUUAACUGAAACUGAAAGAUAUUUAGAUUCCAAAAAUAGCGAUUGAUAGAGAUCAUAAGGCAGAGAGAGACAUUUGAGGACUGCCAUUACCGCCAUUCUGGCCUUCCACAAUCAUCCGGUCUCUUGCUGACUUGCUAUCAAUAAGUUUCGAUUUUGUAAAACAUUUUUUACUUUUUGGGAAAGAAAUUGGCUUUAAAUAUUAUUUAGGCUUGGGAUUGUUUUUGCUAUACGUAUUUGGCUGAGAUUAAGAAACCGAAACAUUUAGAAUCAACAUUAAGAGAAAGUUGGUAACUGUAAGUCACGCACAAAGACGAAGAGAUGGACAACGAGAAAGAGGAAACAGAGUAUUCCCACCCAUCGGAAGCUUUAACACAAGAGUUCCUUUUCUCCCCCUACUUGGAUCAAGCCGCAUUGGUUUUUGGUGGACUUAGGAAGAAUUUUGCAGGGGUGGGUCAUUUGAAUUAAGCAUAUAAUACAAGUCUGAACAUUGUUUAUGUUGUUUUAGAAGAUUCUUUUUAAUUUUAAAAUUUUAAAUUUAUUUACUUUAAAACUUAGUUUUUUC